AGCCGACGUAGCUCAGUUGGUAGAGCACUUCACUCGUAAUGAAGGGGUCCCCGGUUCGAAUCCGGGCGUCGGCUUC
rnacentral:tRNA from 1 species